CUAAUACAUGCAAGUAGAACGCUGAAGGAGGAGCUUGCUUCUCCGGAUGAGUUGCGAACGGGUGAGUAACGCGUAGGUAACCUGCCUGGUAGCGGGGGAUAACUAUUGGAAACGAUAGCUAAUACCGCAUAAGAGUAGAUGUUGCAUGACAUUUGCUUAAAAGGUGCAAUUGUAUCACUACCAGAUGGACCUGCGUUGUAUUAGCUAGUUGGUGGGGUAACGGCUCACCAAGGCGACGAUACAUAGCCGACCUGAGAGGGUGAUCGGCCACACUGGGACUGAGACACGGCCCAGACUCCUACGGGAGGCAGCAGUAGGGAAUCUUCGGCAAUGGACGGAAGUCUGACCGAGCAACGCCGCGUGAGUGAAGAAGGUUUUCGGAUCGUAAAGCUCUGUUGUAAGAGAAGAACGAGUGUGAGAGUGGAAAGUUCACACUGUGAC
rnacentral:rRNA from 1 species